UACGGAGGGAGCUAGCGUUGUUCGGAAUUACUGGGCGUAAAGCGCACGUAGGCGGCUGUUCAAGUCAGAGGUGAAAGCCCGGAGCUCAACUCCGGAACUGCCUUUGAAACUAGACAGCUUGAAUCCAGGAGAGGUGAGUGGAAUUCCGAGUGUAGAGGUGAAAUUCGUAGAUAUUCGGAAGAACACCAGUGGCGAAGGCGGCUCACUGGACUGGUAUUGACGCUGAGGUGCGAAAGCGUGGGGAGCAAACAGG
rnacentral:rRNA from 1 species